rnacentral:rRNA from 1 species
GCGUGUGGGAUGAAGGCCUUCGGGUUGUAAACCACUGUCAGUAGGGAAGAAUGUUUGUCGGUUAAUACCCGAGAAGCUUGACGGUACCUGCAAAGGAAGCACCGGCUAACUCCGUGCCAGCAGCCGCGGUAAUACGGAGGGUGCAAGCGUUGUUCGGAAUUAUUGGGCGUAAAGAGCGUGUAGGCGGUUAGGUAAGUUGGAUGUGAAAGCCCGGGGCUCAACCCCGGAAUUGCAUUCAAUACUGCUUGACUAGAAUCCUGGAGAGGGUGGCGGAAUUCCGAGUGUAGAGGUGAAAUUCGU